rnacentral:rRNA from 1 species
UACGAAGGGGGCUAGCGUUGUUCGGAAUUACUGGGCGUAAAGCGCGCGCAGGCGGUUUUUCGAGUCAGUGGUGAAAGCCCGGAGCUCAACUCCGGAACUGCCAUUGAAACUGUAAAACUUGAGGACGAGAGAGGUGAGUGGAAUUCCCAGUGUAGAGGUGAAAUUCGUAGAUAUUGGGAAGAACACCGGUGGCGAAGGCGGCUCACUGGCUAGUAUCUGACGCUCAGGCGCGACAGCGUGGGGAUCAAACAGG